rnacentral:rRNA from 1 species
AAAAGAACUUUGAAAAGAGAGUUAAAAAGUGCGUGAAACCGUUGGAAGGGAAGCGAAUAGAGCUGGAAAUUCACCUUGUGCUUAUCUUUCUAGACGAGCCUUGUGCGCUCGCAUUGCCGGGGCGGUGCACUUUCGGUUGGCGAACGUCAACGUCGGUUUGCGCGGAGUCAAAAAGCCGCAAGUGCGGUAGGUCUCUCGGGAUCGGUAAGACUUGCGUGCAAAUAGCUUCAUGUAGACCGCGUACUGCCGCAGCACGUGCCUGUAGGCGGCUGUGUUCUUCGUUGUGUCGGCGUAUUGUCGCUCGACGGACGGCUUUGCCUGUGCGUCGGGUGCGACCGUCAAAACGAUGGGCAACAGACACACGACGUGCUGAGGACGUUGGCCGCUCGGCGGUUCUAUCCGACCCGUCUUGAAACACGGACCAAGGAGUCUAUCAUGUGCGCAAGUCUCAGAGUGAUCGAAACUCGUUGGGCGUAAUGAAAGUGAAUGCAGUCUCGGCUGCAGAGAUGAGAGGCCGUAGCGGCGGCAUCAUCGACCGACCUAUUCUACUCCUAGAAAGGUUUGAGUUAGAGCGUACCUGUUGGGACCCGAAAGAUGGUGAACUAUGCCUGAAUAGGGCGAAGCCAGCGGAAACACUGGUGGAAGCCCGUAGCGAUUCUGACGUGCAAAUCGAUCGUCGAAUUUUGGUAUAGCGGCGAAAGACUAAUCGAACCAUCUAGUAGCUGGUUCCCUCCGAAGUUUCUCACAGGAUAGCUGGAGCUCGGUGGCAGUUU